UACAUGUGGGGCAAGCGUUGUUCGGAAUUACUGGGCGUAAAGGGCUCGUAGGCGGCCAACUAAGUCAGACGUGAAAUCCCUCGGCUUAACCGGGGAACUGCGUCUGAUACUGGAUGGCUUGAAUCCGGGAGAGGGAUGCGGAAUUCCAGGUGUAGCGGUGAAAUGCGUAGAUAUCUGGAGGAACACCGGUGGCGAAGGCGGCAUCCUGGACCGGCAUUGACGCUGAGGAGCGAAAGCCAGGGGAGCAAACGGG
rnacentral:rRNA from 1 species